rnacentral:lncRNA from 1 species
GAGGUUCCUGAUGGGAGGUCCCCCACUCCUCUCAAGUUGUUGAAUCACUGAAUUUAUCAUGUUUAACAGAUGUCUGACUGUCCUCCCGGUGAUGCUGUUAAGCUAGGAAUGAAGAUAGCUGCAUCAUGGAAACACAACUGGGACUGACCCUUGGCCUUUUUAGAAAUUUGAUCCAGAAAUUGGCUCCAAAAGCCAAUUCCUUUUUCCCUCCAAAAUGUUCAUUUUUCCUUCUAUUUAUUUAUGCAUUUACCAAGGCCAAGUUGCUAUGUUACAGCACCCGGCUCCCGGCCUUAGGGUUCCUGCUUUUCCAUGGGGUCUUGGGGUGGUGUAUCCCACUUCCUGGCACCCCUACAGCAUCCGCCCCUUCCGAGCAUGUCUUCCCCGUCACAGAGAACUUCAUGUUGGCGCCUCCAAAAGUUGCCGGAGGAAUUAGGGAAUAGGGUGGUGGUGGAUGAGAUUGAGGCCAGAGAGGGGGCUGGCGGUCUGCCCUGAGGACCCCCCUCCCACCCACCGCAAUAGCUGCAUGGCCCCGGGACUUCCCUGUCGUACCUGAGAGGAGGGCCUGGCCCGUGAACUGCCUCCCCAGGAGAGGUCCUCAUCGUCCCCUUCUUCCUUUACGUUCUCAACUCCACUCAGCACGUUUCGUUCGUGCUCAUUGUCCUCCCGCAUCCCUGGAAUUCAAGGCCAGCAAACCCAGGCACAAAGGUUUAAAAAACUUGUCCCACUUCCAGAUGGGCCAAAGAUAGGAUUCAGACUCGAGGGUGUGUCUUAUUGAAAUUGAACAAAAUACCUAAUUUCUAGAGAGUAUAAGAAAAGUUUAAAAUACUUUAUGGAUGUGUUGUUUCGACAGCAAAAUAUCUACUCAGAAUCCUAUAGCUAUUUCAAAAUCCAAGUAACUUAGAAAAAAAGGAAACAGAAAACCUAUAUAGUCAAAUCUUUUGGUGAUUUUGUAUUCAAUGACUGAAACUUCCCAGUGAUUAUUGGGCUUUUUAGCUGGAAUUGAACUUGAAUCGGGGCAGAGCAGCACAAUGCUUCAGAACUUCAGCGACUCUGAGCCCUGGUUCUGCAAUGACCUGCCAAGUAGCUUUAGUCUACUUGACUGCUCUGAAGCUUAAUUUUCUCACCUGUACGGGAAUCAUAGACUCUACUUUAUGAGGCUGAUGUAAGCAUUACAUGAAAUUUUGUAUACUUAUACAUAAUGUGCUUAGCACCGAAU